CCCUUAGAGUUUGAUCCUGGCUCAAGAUGACCUUUUACUACAGGCUUAACACAUGCAAGUUGAGGGGCAGCAUGGUCUUAUCUUGCUAAGGCCGAUGGCGACCGGCGCACGGGUGAGUAACACGUAUCCAACCUGCCGUCUACUCUUGGACAGCCUUCUGAAAGGAAGAUUAAUACAAGAUGGCAUCAUGAGUCCGCAUGUUCACAUGAUUAAAGGUAUUCCGGUAGACGAUGGGGAUGCGUUCCAUUAGAUAGUAGGCGGGGUAACGGCCCACCUAGUCUUCGAUGGAUAGGGGUUCUGAGAGGAAGGUCCCCCACAUUGGAACUGAGACACGGUCCAAACUCCUACGGGAGGCAGCAGUGAGGAAUAUUGGUCAAUGGGCGAGAGCCUGAACCAGCCAAGUAGCGUGAAGGAUGACUGCCCUAUGGGUUGUAAACUUCUUUUAUAAAGGAAUAAAGUCGGGUAUGUAUACCCGUUUGCAUGUACUUUAUGAAUAAGGAUCGGCUAACUCCGUGCCAGCAGCCGCGGUAAUACGGAGGAUCCGAGCGUUAUCCGGAUUUAUUGGGUUUAAAGGGAGCGUAGAUGGAUGUUUAAGUCAGUUGUGAAAGUUUGCGGCUCAACCGUAAAAUUGCAGUUGAUACUGGAUAUCUUGAGUGCAGUUGAGGCAGGCGGAAUUCGUGGUGUAGCGGUGAAAUGCUUAGAUAUCACGAAGAACUCCGAUUGCGAAGGCAGCCUGCUAAGCUGCAACUGACAUUGAGGCUCGAAAGUGUGGGUAUCAAACAGGAUUAGAUACCCUGGUAGUCCACACGGUAA
rnacentral:rRNA from 1 species